rnacentral:rRNA from 1 species
AGUGAACGCUGGCGGUAGGCCUAAUACAUGCAAGUCGAACGGCAGCACAGUAAGCGCUUGCUCUUACGGUUGGCGAGUGGCGGACGGGUGACGAAUACAUCGGCAUCUACUUUUUCGUGGGGGAUAACGGAGGGAAACUGACGCUACUACCGCAUACGUCCUACGGGUGGAAGCAGUAGAUCUUGGCACCUUUCGCGAUUGUAUGAGCCGGUGUCGGAUUAGCUAGUUGGCGGGGUAAAGGCCCACCAAGGCAACGAUACGUAGCGGGCCUGAGAGGAUGAUCAGCCACACUGGAACUGAGACACGGUCCAGACUCCUACGGGAGGCAGCAGUGGGGAAUAUUGGACAAUGGGCGCAAGCCUGACCCAGCCACACCGCGAGGGUGAAGAAGGUCUUCGGGUUGUAAAGCCCUUUUGUUGGGAAAGAAAAGCAGCAGGUUAAUACACCGAUGUUCUGACGGUACCCAAAGAAUAAGCACCGGCUAACUUCGUG